CCGCGCUCUCGGGCUCGCAGGCGCUGGGUCUCGGCUCCGGCUCCGGCUCCGCGCCGCUGGCUCUGCGUCGCUCGCACUCCAGGUACGGGUGACUCACACAGUCACUCGCGCCCGCCCCUCGCGCUCACUCGCUCCCCCGCCUCGCCGCCGCCGCCGCGCAGGCCAAACCCACCGGCGCGCCCGGACCGAAGUGGCAGGGAACGUGCACGUCGGGCACCCUGGGAGGGAGGGCGCAGCGGGGGAGGGGGCGGGCAGAGACCCGGAAAGCUCCGCAGACCGCCGUGGGUGCGACUGUGCGGCCUGGGGAGUGAGCCUCGCGCCACCGCCGCUGCAGGCCGGGGAGCCCAGCCGGGGGCACCCUCAUCCCAGGCUGACUGACGUCCCUGGCACCCAAAUGUCGCGGGGAGUGCGGGGCCAGGGUGCGCCCUCCCUCCUCCUCCAGCCAGUGAAACCCGGGACAGCGGCACCCAGCCCCAGGGCGGAGGCCGUCUCUGCUGCGCGCAGCGACGCACCCAGGCCCAAGGGCCGGGAGAUCCGCGGGGAACCCGGAGACCUGCGUCCCAGAGGGGCCGAGGGUUGCACCGCGCCCGCUCCCACGGGCCUCUUCCGAGAGGACGCUUCUCCCUCGUGUCCGCGGGAAGUCCUCGGAUCCUGGAUGAGAAAGAGCCUUCUCUCACCGGCUCCCAGACCCCGCGCUUUUUAAUACCUGUCCUUGCAGAGCGACUGGUCAUUUUAGGCCCGAGUCGAGCCUCUCUUGAUUAAUAAAUGAAUAUGGCUCGUUUUGUUUUAAGUGUGCGUGGAUGUAUACGUUGUAUUGUUUUGCAAUUCAACACCGCAAAGAUCUGGGAAAAGUUCUUCACCUGCAUUAAGGAAAGCAAUUACAAACUCGUAGUCCAAACCAGAAGAGCCAGAAAAUCAAGUAGAAGGCUCAGGGUAGGAUGAAACCAAAGGGAACAGGAAUCGUUUCUUCCUUUUAAUAAGAUGUCAGGUUAUUGGACUCACUUGAUGAGAGGCAGCAAAAUGAAUCGAACACAGCCUGGGUUCAAAGCCUGACCCCGCCAUCUAAUGAUGUGACCUUCUGCAAAUUCUUAGUCGCUCUAUGCCUCAAUUCUUUAAUCUACAAAAUGGGAAUAAGGACGCAGCUACCGAACAGCUUCUACUCUCCUGCUGUGAGGAUUAAAUGAGUCAGCAGUUCCGAACUGCUUCAAUCGGCCUGGCUCAAGGGAAGCUCCACGGAAGAGUCAGCUAGGAUUAUUAUAAAUUGGUUAUAACAAAGAAGCGAACACAUUCCGUUGCUAGCGCACAGAUUAAGACUCAAUAAUGCCACAUACCAACUGCCACUGCUCUGACAAAUAUUUCUGUCAUUUCAAAAAAAUAUCAUGGCUGCAGCUUUUCAUGACAAAAGAAAACCAUUGGUUUCUGGGCCUCUUAAACAGCUGCACUGAUGGACAUAUUCAUAAUAAUGCUGUACUGUUUGACUUUCCAGAAGAUGUAACUUCUUUAAAGGAUUCACCAAAUUCAACAGCCCCUGAGCCACUCACUCACUGCCAUGUUCACAAGUCCACCUCAAAAGCAAAUAAAAUGAGAAUUUGCUGUCAGAGAGGAUCAGCUGUCUUUUAAAAAUAUUUCAGAGCUCAUUAGAAAUGUAUGACGAGGGGAAAAAAAAUACCAUGGAAGAACAGAGGAGAA
rnacentral:lncRNA from 10 species